rnacentral:lncRNA from 1 species
ACUCAAAGCUAUUGCUAAAGUCUGUAAUUACUGCCCUAAAUUUGCUCCAGGUCAUCAACUUUUGACCUUGAUACAGUAGCUUCCUUAUAUCAUAUACACAAAAAGAAGAACAGGAGGACUUGUGGCACCUUAGAGACUAACAAAUUUAUUAGAGCAUAAGCUAUGCAUAUGCAUCCGAAGAAGUGGGCUAUAGUCCACGAAAGCUUAUGCUCUAAUAAAUUUGUUAGUCUCUAAGGUGCCACAAGUCCUCCUGUUCUUCUUUUUGCGGAUACAGACUAACACGGCUGCUACUCUGAAACAUAUCAUAUACAGUUUUUCCUCCAAUGCAUGCCCAUACUGCUGCAUCACCACAUCUAAGAAAAAGUUUAUCUUAGCUGUGUUUUCAGAAGCAAUGGAUUUUUAAUCAUGCACAUCCAAGACCGUUCAAUAGCCUACUUAGAUCUGCCCUUUAGGUAUAUGUAUAUACACAUCUAUGAAGUAAAACUGGUUCUCUCUACUAUGCAGACUCCACACCUAUGUUUUUACACUGUACAUACUGUUGUCUUAUAAACCAGCUGUAGAUCUUGCUUGCCCUUUAAUAUACCCCAAUCAGAAUUUAUAGCAUAUGGGUUUACAACACAAACAGAACAGAAUGCCAAAGAAUUCCUUGCACCAAGUCCCUCCGAAUGCAGGACAGACUGACCCCCGGCUUAGCCUACCGAGAUCGCUAUUCUCCCUAUCCUGGCAGCAAUCUGCAAGCACCUAGAAACUUGACUCCACAGUGCUCUGCUCCCCCGUCCCAAGCCUCAGCACAAUUCAGUUUUAGCUAGGUGGGAGAUCUACGCUGCUCCUCCGCACAGAAACAAACCCACUAUCCCAUGCGGAGAAGAGGGCGGUAAUGAAGAACCAAGCCCUGGGCAUCGGCCUCCACUGCACAGGACGGAUCCAAUCAGCCCUGCUCUUGCGCCUCAAAGCAGCCCAACCAGCCUGCAGGGCAGCAUCCAGCAGCCAGGGCACUGCAGUUGAAAAAUGCGGCAGUUUAAAGAUGCCGCUUGCCUGUAAAUGUGCCAAAUAGGAAGCAGACAAGAAGCAUCAAGUCACACCCUCGGGUCAUGAAGACCAGAAAGUGGCCCAUAUUGAAGGGGAGGAUCCAUGCUAUAGG